CUCAGCCGGGCGGGCGCCGGCGCCACGCCUCGGGUCAGUCACGACGCGUGAGGAAAAUCCUCCAUGUCCGGGAUGGGAGGCUGGUGAUGCUGGGAAGGAGCCCUCUGCCACCGCUUCUGUCGGUGUCCGGGUGACUGGACUGGUUUUCGUCCUUCCGUUUACCUCCAGAGAAGACUGAGACCUGCCCUUGCUUAGAAAGAAGAGGUUCUAACCGACUGAGAAUAGACACAAGGAACGAAAUGAGCAUCUCAUUAGAGUGUCAUCUUUAUUACCUGGAUGAGGGGCGGGGCUUCCCUGGUGGCGCAGUAGUUGGGAGUCCGCCUGCCGAUUCAGGGGACACGGGCUCGUGCCCGGUCCAGGAAGAUCCCACAUGCCGCGGAGCAGCUAGGCCCGUGAGCCAUGGCCGCUGAGCCUGCGCGUCAGGAGCCUGUGGUCCGCAACAGGAGAGGCCACAACAGUGAGAGUCCCGCGUACCGAAAAAAAAAAAAAAAAUGAUGCAGGG